GGAUCCAAGCUACACACUGGACAAACUCAAUCUGGAUCAUGGAGGAGAGAAGUGGUUUACAGCGGGACUGCACAAAUAUGCCUGUUUCCUCACACUGGCUCCAAACACAGCACACAUUGAACUCAGACUGUCUGAGGAGAACAGAAGGGUGACCCGAGUGGGAGAGAGACAACAGUAUCCUGAUCAUCCAGACAGAUUUGAUCAUCAUGCUCAUGUGUUGUGCAGAGAGAGUGUGUGUGGACGCUGUUACUGGGAGAUUGAGAUGAAUGCAGGAGAUCGUGUGGAUAUAGCAGUGUCAUAUAAGAGCAUCAAGAGGAAGGGACGAGGUUAUGAGUGUGUGCUUGGACAAAAUGCUCAGUCCUGGGCUUUAAUCUGCUACGUUAACAGAGUCGCAUUCAGACACAAUAUGAUAGAGACUCGUCUCCCAGUAAAGUUGAUGAGCAGGAGAAUAGGAGUGUUUGUGGAUCACAGUGCGGGAACUCUGAUCUUCUACAACAUCUAUAGAGACACAAUGAGCCUCAUCCACUCAGUCCAGACCACAUUCACUGAGCCGCUCUAUCCUGGGUUUUGGGUUGAGUAUGGAUCCUCGGUGAAACUGUGUUAAAGACUGAUGGGAGAUUUACCCAGAAUCCUCUGCAGGAUCAGUCAGUAGCAGUGAGAUGAUCUACAGUCUCUUCUGUGUGUGUGUGUGUGUGUUUCUGUUUUCAUCAGUUAUGAUCAUCUAAUUUUGCCUCUACAUCUGUAUUCUGAGCGUUCACACACACAUUCACCCAGUACAGUCAUUCUCACACUGUAAUCUGCUUUGUUUUGUACAUCAGUAAUCAGGUGAACUUGAGCUGAUGUCUGGAUUGCUUAUAUAAACUGUAGGAGUUAAUAAUU